rnacentral:lncRNA from 1 species
CCUGCCUCAGCCUCCUGAGUAGCUGGGAUUACAGGCAUGCGACCCCAAGACUGGCAAAUGUUCAUAUUUUUAGUAGAGAUGGUGUUUCACCAUGUUGGCCAGGCUGGUCUCGAACUCCUGACCUCAUGUGAUCCACCAGCCUUGGCCUCCUAAAGUGCAGGGAUUACAGACUUGAGCCACUGCGCCCGGUCCAGGCCAAGUCUCAACCUCUUUGUGAUUCUACCUGUUCCUUCUGGAGCUCUGCAUGGCUGGCUUCUGGAAGGCCAUCAGCUGUGAUCUCACCUGGACCCAAAACUACAGCUCCCACUCACUGCCCAUCAUAUGAGCCACUGAAAGUCCUGGCGUGGUGUUGGAGGAGCUGUUUCCUGAUUGCAGAGUAUCUAGAAUGGAAGGCCUGUCGUGAUGGGAUUUUGUUGGCAGGUUGUCUUCCAGAUGGCUAUGAAGACAAUUUUGCUUUAUGCUGCCCAAUUCUGGUUGCUUCCUCUCCUAGGAAAUGAGAGCCUUCAUGGUGGACAUGGCCUUAAAGACCAACACUGUUGUUUUAUGGCUAAAAAGAUGGACAUACAGAUCGGUGAAAUGCCUACAAAACUAGAAUGCUACCCAGGCCCAGAGGCAGCUGUCUGAACAUAACCAUGGAGAGGAGAGUUUCCCCUUCCUGGAGCACCCUCUUCCCUUCCCUUCCCAGCACCCUCCUUCCCUGCUUCUCCAUCUGUUGUCACCUUUCCCCUCUGUACUGGAUUGAACAGUGUGCCCCAAAAAUUCAUGUUCACCUGGAACCUCAGCAUUUGACCUUAUCUGGAAAUAGGAUCUCUGCAGAUGUAACUCAGUUAACGUGAGGUCAUACUGGAUUAAGAUGAACCAUAAUCCAGGCUGGGUGCAGUGGCUUAUGCCUGUAAUCCCAGCACUUUGGGAGGCUGAGGCGGGAGGAUCACCUGAGGUUGGGAGUUUGAGACCAGCCUGACCAACAUGGAGAAACCCCGUCUCUACUGAAAAUACAAAAUUAGCCGGGCAUGGUGGUGCAUGCUGGUAGUCCCAGCUACUUGGGAGGCUGAGGCAGGAGAAUCACUUGAACUCGGGAGGCGGAGUUUGCGGUAAGCCAAAAUCGCGCCAUUGUGCUCCAGCCUGGGCAACAAGAGCAAAACUCCAUCUCAAAAAAAAAAAAAAAGAUGAACCAUAAUCCAAUAACUGGCAUCUUUACAAGAAGAGAGAAAUUUAGACACAAACACACAGUGGAAAGUGGUCACAUGAAGACAGAGGCAGAGAUUAGAGUUCUACGCCACAAACCAAGGAAUGCCAUACAUUGACAUCAACCAUUAAAGGCAAAGAAGAGACAAGGAAAAAUUGUUCUCUAGAGCCUUUGGAGAGAGCAUGGCCCUGCCGAAACCUUGAUUCCAGACCCCAACCUCCAGAACAGUGAGAGAAUACAUUUCUGUCGUUUUAAGCCAUUCAGUUAGUGGUGCUUUGUUACAACAGCCACAGGAAACCUGCACCCUCUUGUCUUGUGCUCUCCUCCAUCCCUCCCUUGGUGGAAGAAGAAUAGACUCCUAAGACACACGAAUUUACACAAACACAUUAGGAUCAAGGGCCCACAGCUUCAGUAUUUGCAUUUUAUAGGAUGACUUCCACUAAAGGUAACGAAGUGGAAGCAGGACUGGAAAUUCUCACAAAUGGAGGCCUAGUUACAGCUCUGCAAAUCACCCUUACAAAAAAAUGUAUCAUCACCUCCAUUUGAUAGAUGCAAAAGCCAGGGCUCAAAGAGGCAUGAGCAAAGGGGGCAGGGUUGUGUGGUGGCUAAGAGUGUAGCCUGUGGCCCCAUGGUCAGCCUGUGUCCAGAUCCUGGGUACUCUACUUCAUAACUGGCCAUAUGAACUUAGGCAAGUCAAUUUAACUUCUCUGGGCCUUGGUUGCCUCAUCUGUAGAAUGAGGAUAAUAAUAAUAAAAUCUAUCUCUAAGAUAGAUGGGAGGUAAAACCUAUCUCUAAGAUAGAUGGGUACCAUGGGUACCAUGCUCACUACCUGAAUGAAAGGAUUAAUGGUACCCCCAAACCUCAGUAUCACACAAUAUACCAUUAUAACAAACCUGCACCUAUACCCCCAAAUCUAAAAUAAAAACUGAAAAGAAGUUUUAAAAAAGUAAAAACAGAAAAAAAUGGAGCUAUGUGUAUUACUGGAAGGUUCUGGUAAUUUACCUAUUGUGGCUCAGCUACACAUCUCUUUGCUCUUUCAACCCUGCAAUACUUCUGUAACCACCCC